CGCGGAGUAGAGCAGUUUGGUAGCUCGUCGGGCUCAUAACCCGGAGGUCGCAGGUUCAAGUCCUGCCUCCGCAACCA
rnacentral:tRNA from 1 species